rnacentral:rRNA from 1 species
ACUCCUACGGGAGGCAGCAGUGGGGAAUAUUGCACAAUGGGCGCAAGCCUGAUGCAGCCAUGCCGCGUGUAUGAAGAAGGCCUUCGGGUUGUAAAGUACUUUCAGCAGUGAGGAAGGUGGGUAUGUUAAUAGCAUAUUCAUUUGACGUUAGCUGCAGAAGAAGCACCGGCUAACUCCGUGCCAGCAGCCGCGGUAAUACGGAGGGUGCGAGCGUUAAUCGGAAUUACUGGGCGUAAAGCGCAUGCAGGUGGUUUGUUAAGUCAGAUGUGAAAGCCCGGGGCUCAACCUCGGAAUUGCAUUUGAAACUGGCAAACUAGAGUACUGUAGAGGGGGGUAGAAUUUCAGGUGUAGCGGUGAAAUGCGUAGAGAUCUGAAGGAAUACCGGUGGCGAAGGCGGCCCCCUGGACAGAUACUGACACUCAGAUGCGAAAGCGUGGGGAAGCAAACAGGAUUAGAUACCCUGGUAGCGUAG